GAUUUCUGAAUAAUAGUGUCUGGCCGGCCACGGUUUCGUGUGUUAGUGCUUGAUACUUUGUUCAUCCUUCCAAUUGCUUUCUACUAUUCUUCAUUGAAUCGGUAGGGAGUAUUGGAUCGUUUACUUUGAAAAAAUUAGAGUGUUUCAAGCAGGCUUCAAUGCUAUGAAUACAUUAGCAUGGAAUAAUAAUUUAGGACUUUGGUUCUAUUUUGUUGGUUUCUAGGACUGAAGUAAUGAUUGAUAGGGUCAGUUGGGGGUGCUAGUAUUCAGCGGCCAGAGGUGAAAUUCUCGGAUUCGCUGAAGACUAACUUAUGCGAAAGCAUU
rnacentral:rRNA from 1 species